GANACGCUGGCGGCAGGCUUAACACAUGCAAGUCGAACGCUCUCUUCGGAGAGAGUGGCAGACGGGUGAGUAACGCGUGGGAAUCUACCCAGUACUACGGAACAACAGUUAGAAAUGACUGCUAAUACCGUAUACGCCCUCCGGGGGAAAGAUUUAUCGGUAUUGGAUGAGCCCGCGUUUGAUUAGCUAGUUGGUGAGGUAAUGGCUCACCAAGGCGACGAUCAAUAGCUGGUCUGAGAGGAUGAUCAGCCACACUGGGACUGAGACACGGCCCAGACUCCUACGGGAGGCAGCAGUGGGGAAUAUUGGACAAUGGGCGCAAGCCUGAUCCAGCCAUGCCGCGUGUGUGAUGAAGGCCCUAGGGUUGUAAAGCACUUUCAACGGUGAAGAUAAUGACGGUAACCGUAGAAGAAGCUCCGGCUAACUUCGUGCCAGCAGCCGCGGUAAU
rnacentral:rRNA from 1 species